CUGUUUCCUCAUGGCCUAUCAGCAUUCAACGACAUCCAGCAUUAUUUUAAUAUACAUUCUAUGCCGACGUGCAAACCACCACUCAGCGCCAUGUGAUUACAUUUUAUUGUCUUGUUUGAUUUUAGGACUGUUGACCUGUGUGUAGAAGCCUUGGUCAACUAUCUCCUAUAAUAUCACUGGAGCUCCUGACUCCAUAGACAGUGUCUCAUGAUCUACAAACCUCAUGUCUCAUGGGUCUUGGCCUCGAUGUGACAAAGAAGUCUGCACAGAUCUCUCGUAACACAGCAUCUGCCCUCCUCCAACUACGUUACCCACAUGUUUCCUGCAACACCUUGGGGAGGGUCCAAUGGCUGCGCCGCGCUUUCAAGUGGUUUCAGGAAGGAUCUUUUCCUCCCCGGGGCCGAGGGCCUGACAGAGACUGACAGCACCGGGUUCUCUGUGCAGCGUGUGGCCCUGCGAUGGACUGGUGUCCUGUCCAGACUGUACCCUGCCUCUCUGCCUGAGUUAUCUGGGAUUGGCUCCAGCACCACUCACGACCCCUGCAGGGACCAAGCGGUUGCUCCCAAGUAUUAUGCAGUUAAAUAACCGACUUCAAUAAACAGAUAUGCAAC
rnacentral:lncRNA from 1 species